rnacentral:rRNA from 1 species
UACGGGGGGUGCGAGCGUUGUCCGGAAUCACUGGGCGUAAAGAGCGCGCAGGCGGCUUGUCAAGUCGGGUGUGAAAUCCCGGGGCUCAACCCCGUGACUGCAUUCGAUACUGUCAGGCUAGAGGUAGGUAGGGGAGAUCGGAAUUCCUGGUGUAGCGGUGAAAUGCGCAGAUAUCAGGAGGAACACCGGUGGCGAAGGCGGAUCUCUGGGCCUUACCUGACGCUCAGGCGCGAAAGCUAGGGGAGCGAACAGG